ACCUGGAUAGCAUAGUUGGUUAGAGCGUGGUGCUGAUAAACACCAAGGUUGCAGGUUCAAUCCCUGGCUGCAUAUU